GAGUGGCCUUGCUGCCAC
rnacentral:snRNA from 1 species